UACUAAUAAAUAACAUAAUAAAUACAUUUAACAAAUAAAAAUGUCAUAAAUAUACAUUAUUUUUAGUGUACAUUACAAUGGAAUAAUCAAAAUAGCAAAAUAAAAAAAUUUAAAAAAAAUCAAAAAUUUCCACAUCCUCUUAGUUCAACUAUUACCAUGAUUCUAGUGAAUGUACAGACAUUACAUAAAAAAAAAAUAUUUUUUUUUUUUUUUUUUUUUAUGCAGUGGGAAUAACAUGUACAAACAGUUAAACACAUUUAUUAUAACUUUUAGUAAUCAAAGAAUUAUAAUGUGUAUGUCUUCUCCAUUUUCCUAUUACUAAAAACAUUAUACAUUUUCUUUUAACUAAAAUAUAAAAGAAUGUUUUAUUAAAAACAUUAUACAUUAUUUAUGAAUGGAUUUUUUUUAUUUUUUACGUUGUAUUAAAUAUAGACAACAAAAUACCAACUACUUGGAAUACUUAUAUUAAUUAAUUUAUUACUUUGUUCCUCGACAAAUCUUCAUCAUAAAUGUUUAGCAUCAGCUGUUAAUAGUACUUUUUUUUUUUUUUACAUACUUAUUUUAUGUAUUUAAUCAAUCAAUUAUUUAUUUUUCUUAUAUUACAUAUAUAAUUAAUUACUUAUUUUAACUGUUUAAUUAAAUAUUCAAUUAAUCACCUACUUAACUACUUAAUAAUUUUUGCAUUGGCUACUUAUUUUAAUAAGAUAUAAAUAACUUUUAUUGUUUUUUUUUAUAGUUUGUUUUUAAAUACAAAAUGAAAUGAUUGUUUAUUGUUCAAUGUAAUAAUUACUGAUAAAAGAAACCUUCUUAUAGACCAACUGAUUAAUAAAUGUUUAUUGCUAUUAUUUAACCUAUCGCUUCAAAACAACAGAACUCAAUGAAUCAUAAAAACAUUUCAACAAAACAAAAAAAUUACAGAAAGUACAUAUUCAAAUAAAUAGAAAGUAUUAAUUUUAAUAUAAUAUUUUUUUAUUAUUAUUUGUUGUUUCAUGGAAAAGGUUUUUUUGAUUGGUUUUUUGGGGUUAAAGAAUAAUGGUUUAAGGGUGGAAGAAUAAUUGUUUUACGGGUUGAUGAACUCAUUUAAGCGGGUUAUUUAGAGAGAAAGGGUUUUUAAUUGUUUUUGGGCUGGAAGUGUAAUGGUUUUUGGGGUGAAAGAAUAAUGGCUUACGGGUUGAUGAUUUCAUUUAAGCGGGUUGUUUUAGGAGAAAGGGCUUUGAAUUGGUUUCUGGUUUAAGAAUAAUGGUUUACGGGUUGAAGAUUUCUUUUAUUUUUCAUGUUUUUAGGAAUAGUAGUGUUUUUUUUUUUCGUAUUAUUUUUGCUAUUAAGUUUUAUAUCUAUACUUUUAUAAACGGUAUAAACUUAUAUCUAAUUAUAUACAUAUUAGAAUUACAGAAUAUACAUUAUAGUUUUGCUUUAUUGUUUUUAAUAACUUAUUUGAAUUUAAUUUAAUCUAGCAUGGCAUAUCAAACAUUUUAAUUGAACUUAUUUCAGCUCUUGUUUUUUUUUACUUUAUUUUUUUUUGGAUUCAUUCGCUGUAUAUGGCGUUGUUUCACACAACUAAAUACAUUUUUCAUGCAUCCAAAUAGAAACAACCAAUCAAAUUCAUAAAAUAAAUCAAGUACCCUACAUAACAAACUGAUUACUUAACGAAGGAAAAAAAACAAAAAAAUAAUUAAAAUAACAAACAGCAAAAAAUUUCACAAAAAAAAAAGUAUCAUGUGUCCAAUUGAAUACAUUUCAACCAACGUAAAUCCAUUCAACUCACUUAAAUAUUCAAAUAAAGACAUUAAAACAUAUUUAACACAACAACAAACACCAAAAUAUAAACUAAUUCAACAGACUAGUAGAACCUUAAUAAUUCCAACACUCAUGAAACAUUCAUUAAUAGAUAUCAAUGUAGUAAAUAGUCAGCAAAACAGAGCAAACAAAAAAA